rnacentral:piRNA from 1 species
UUCACGAUUGGGUGAAUAUGGAGGCAUGGC